AUCAAUUUCAAUGAAUUUACAAAUUUUGUUACAAUUUUGGACUGCCUUUCGUUUGAUUUUCUUAGAAAGCUUCAAGGCUCAUUUAAAAUGCGAUUUCCGUUUGGUAUUAAGAGCCUUCCCAUCAUCCAGAAAUAGCAGACCCAAGGCUCAAUCACCCCUCUAUGACAGCAGCAUUGAUGUCGGAUUUUCGAACUGCACAUUUCGCAAAAAAGUUCGGUUGGCUGCAUUGGUGAUGAGUGCAGUGCAAGCAGCUGCAGGACAUUAAGUGAAAAUAUCCAAAGUACACACAGAUAGAGAGACACGAGUAUUUGUAAGGGUUAUGAAUUGCUUGACAUGUCCUAGAAUUUAAAGAAAGGAGAGACAGACUAUUGGCUAAGAAAAUACUGUGAUAAGAAGGGAAGAGAUAAGCAGGACAGAACUGGACAAAUAAUGAUGUUGAAAUAAAAAUAUUGAGUGCAGGUUGAAGUUAUAUAAAGCUUGUUUAAAAGAAAAAUCAGACUAGAAAAUGUGGCUCAUAAAUAACUACUUGUAAAUGAUUCUGGAUUAGCCGUAUAGUACCUGAUUUUACCGAUCAAAAUAAUCUCAGCUUAUAUCCUUAAGGGCAUAGACAUCAAAUAAAUUAUUAAUCCAUUUA